GACGAACGCUGGCGGCGUGCUUAAAACAUGCAAGUCGAACAAAGUGGCGAACGGGUGAGUAAUACGUGGGUAACAUGCCCUCCUUUUUGGGAUAAGCCUUGGAAACGGGGUCUAAUACCGAAUAAAGGGGGAUGGGCUCGCGGCUUAUCAGCUUGUUGGUGGGGUGAUGGCCUACCAAGGCGGUGACGGGUAGCCGGCCUGAGAGGGGUACCUGCAACUGUGGGACUGAGCUACUGCCCAGGCUCCGAAGGGAGGGAGCAGUGGGGGAUAUUGCACAAUGGGCGACAGCCUGAUGCAGCGACGGCGCGUGGGGGAUGAAGGCUUUCGGGUUGUAAAACUCUUUCGCUAUCGAAGGGGUAGGUGGAGAAGAAGCGCCGGCUAACUACGUGCCAGCAGCCGCGGUAAUUC
rnacentral:rRNA from 1 species